rnacentral:rRNA from 1 species
GAUGAACGCUGGCGGCGUGCCUAAUACAUGCAAGUCGAGCGAACAGACGAGGAGCUUGCUCCUCUGACGUUAGCGGCGGACGGGUGAGUAACACGUGGAUAACCUCCCUAUAAGACUGGGAUAACUUCGGGAAACCGGAGCUAAUACCGGAUAAUAUAUUGAACCGCAUGGUUCAAUAGUGAAAGACGGUUUUGCUGUCACUUCUAGAUGGAUCCGCGCCGCAUUAGCUAGUUGGUAAGGUAACGGCUUACCAAGGCAACGAUGCGUAGCCGACCUGAGAGGGUGAUCGGCCACACUGGAACGGGGACACGGUCCAGAGUCCUACGGGAGGCAGCAGUAGGGAAUCUGCCGCAAUGGGCGAAAGCUUGACGGAGCAACGCGGCGCGAGUGAUGAAGGUGUUCGGAGCGGAAAACUCUGUUAUGAGGGAAGAACAAAUGUGUAAGUAACUAUGCACGUCUUGACGGUACCUAAUCAGAAAGCCACGGCUAACUACGUG